rnacentral:rRNA from 1 species
AUAUCCCUACGGGGCGCAGCAGUGGGGAAUAUUGCACAAUGGGGGAAACCCUGAUGCAGCGACGCCGCGUGGAGGAAGAAGGUCUUCGGAUUGUAAACUCCUGUCCUUGGGGACGAUAAUGACGGUACCCAAGGAGGAAGCACCGGCUAACUACGUGCCAGCAGCCGCGGUAAAACGUAGGGUGCAAGCGUUGUCCGGAUUUAUUGGGUUUAAAGGGUGCGUAGGCGGAUUUUUAAGUCAGCGGUAAAAUGUCCGGGCUCAACCCGGGCCGGCCGUUGAAACUGGGGAUCUUGAGUGGGCGAGAA